GGGAAACAAGGACAGUGCCAGAAAGCCCAAUUCACUCACACCACCACGAAUCCUUGAGUCCAUGAAUCGACACAAGUGAAAUGUGGAAGAGCUGGAAUUGGUCUCAGAGAAAAACGUUGAUCAACCUAGGUUAGAGAAGGUAAAAUCCAAAGAAGAGAACGCAUCAGGACAAAAAAAUAAAAGCUGUAGUAUAAGUUCCAGAAAAACAAAAAUAGGUGUAAUGCAAUUCCAAGAUAACUGACAUCUGCAGAAGUCUCACAUUAGGUAUGUGUUUAGAUUCUCUCCCUCCCAUGCAUAUACAUUCCCUCCCAUGCAU